AUGGCUGGGACCAUUGACAUCGGCCGACUAAAUUAUGGGGUAAUCACUCUCAUCCCUAAGGUGACGGGAGCCUCGGACAUCCGGCAAUUUCGGCCGAUCACAGUGAUUAACGUCAUCUUCCGCAUCCUCGCCAAGGGGUACGCCAUUAGGGUGGCCCCUAUAGCUGACCGGAUCACUCACCCUGAUCAGUCGGCCUUCAUCUAGGGCCGCUAUAUCCUUGAUGGAGUCCUAGUGUUCCACGAAGCUCUCCAUGAGGUGCACUCCAAACACCUCAAGGCAGUCUUCUUGAAACUGGACUUCCACAAGGCUUAUGACACGGUCAGCUGGACCUUCCUUCGGGAAUGUUUGCUUCGGAAGGGCUUCAACGAUAGGUGGGUGACCAGAGUAAUGCAGAUGGUCUCUUCAGGCCGCACCGCGGUGAACAUUAAUAGGGAGAUCGGCCUGUUCUUCCCCAUGUUCUGUGGGGUCCGCCAGGGCGACCCCUUCUCCCUAUUCCUGUUCAACAUAGUUGUCGAUGCACUGGCGGCCAUACUCGAUAAGGCCAAGGCGGCGGGACACAUUAAGGGGAUUGUCUCGCAGCUUGUUGGAGGCAACAGGAUCUCCCUCCUCCAAUAUGUAGAUGACACCAUUAUCAUGGUGGAGGGCUCUGAGAGUGAUAUCUCGAACCUCAAGUUCCUCUUAUUGUGCUUCCAGCAGAUGUCCAUCCUUAGGAUCAACUUCGACAAGAGUGAGGUUAUGGUCUUGGGCUACGCCCAAGACGAGCGAUAG
rnacentral:rRNA from 1 species